UUGUAAAAUAAUAUAACAUGACACGAAUAAAAGCUGGUUUGGUGUCUAAUUUAGAUCAAGGCAAGAUCCUUUGUCACUUACUUUCAAUUAUUAGUAGAAGUUGAAUGGAUUGACCCUAUUAUAUUGACAUUCCAUAUUGUUGGGUUUAAAACCUAGAUUUUGAAUAACUUAGCGCAAAGAUAGAUCUAAGCUACAAUGUGAUCCUUCCACCUUUUAAUAGAGAAUGGUUACAGCUGGUGCUGUGAAACUAAAUAUUAUUGUCAUUAUAAUUAUUAUCAUAUAGAAACACAAUAAAAAGAAGGACGACAACGAGAAGCCUUGAUUGGGGCCUCUGCACAUCCAUCUCCAAAUCUCACUUCGACUGGACUGGCGCAUAUGAAGAAGAAUUCAUCCAUACACGCCACAUUCAUCCGUAAACACAUCCAUAAAAUACACAUAUUCAUCCAUUGGUCCAUCCAUUGACAUCGGGCCGACUCCCUUGUCUGAAUGGGUGCUGCUGCUCUGGACUUUUUGCUGUGGACUGGCUUGCUUUCGAGGAGGAGAGAGGGAGGGGCAUGCACUGAAUUCACUCACUCACUCACUCACACUCUCUCUCUCACUCACUCACUCUGGGCAGGAAAGCAAGCAGGCAAGCAGGGCAGGGCAGGUCGUAGCCACUGCUCUUCCGAUCCCAUGUUGGAACGCAGUCGAUCCUCCGCAGCUGCCUUGCCUGUCAGGUCUGGAUGGAUCUUACCACCACCAGGACAUGGCUGGAGCCGGCACACACACUCACACACAAACACAGACACUUGCUGAUCUCCGAUGCGAUGCGAUGCGAUGCGCUCAGGAAGUAUCUUCGUGCAGAAACCGAGCCAACCCCCCUUCCCAACGUGGUGUGCGGCGCCUCUUUCCUGCCCCGUGCUGGAACCACCCUAAGCUACCAGCACAGCACCAGGGGGAUCCUGCCGCUCUACUGAUGCUUCUAUGCCCAGUUGGGCAGUGCAGGCACUUCUUCUCCACCGCGACACAGACGGGGGCUGCAGUUUGGCGUGUGGGUUGUGGCGCUGGAUGUGUCAAUGUGUAGCUGGAGGAGAAAGUUGGUAAGCAGGGAUCAGGUGAUGACCCCACCUGAUGCACGUGGAUGUUUUCUCCGUUGCUCCGUUGGUUUCCUGCCUUUCUUCCUCCCGCGUCU
rnacentral:lncRNA from 1 species